rnacentral:rRNA from 1 species
UACAGAGGCCUCGAGCGUUAGGCGGAAUCACUGGGCUUAAAGCGUGUGUAGGCGGAUGCCUAAGUGCCUUGUGAAAUCCCACGGCUUAACCGUGGAACUGCUUGGCAUACUGGGUGUCUUGAGCAGCCUAGGGGCGAGCGGAACAGAUGGUGGAGCGGUGAAAUGCGUAGAUAUCAUCUGGAACGCCAAUGGUGAAGACAGCUCGCUGGGGGCUCGCUGACGCUGAGACACGAAAGCCAGGGGAGCGAACGGG